AUUUUCCGGUUGAUCCUGCCGGAGGCUACUGCUAUUGGGAUUCGACUAAGCCAUGCGAGUCAAGGUGUCUUCGGACGCCGGCGUACGGCUCAGUAACACGUAGGUAACCUAACCUCAGGACUGAGAUAACCCCGGGAAACUGGGGCUAAUAUUAGAUAGAUAAAAGGUACUGGAAUGUUCUUUUAUCCAAAGCUUUUGCGCCUGAGGAUGGGCCUGCGUCCGAUUAGGUUGUUGGUGGGGUAAUGGCCCACCAAGCCUACGAUCGGUACGGGCAGUGAGAGCUGAAGCCCGGAGUUGGGGACUGAGACAAGGCCCCAGGCCCUACGGGGCGCAGCAGGCGCGAAACCUCUGCAAUGCGGGAAACCGUGACAGGGGGAUCCCAAGUGCUCAUGCAUUGCAUGGGCUGUUCCUUGGUCUAAGUAACCAGAGGAGUAAGGGCUGGGCAAGACCGGUGCCAGCCGCCGCGGUAAUACCGGCAGCUCAAGUGGUAGCCGCGAUUAUUGGGCCUAAAGCGUUCGUAGCCGGAUAAGUAAGUCUUUGGUUAAAUCCUGCAACUUAACUGUGGGAAAUCUAGGGAUACUGCUUGUCUUGAGACCGGGAGAGGUUAGAGGUACUCCUAGGGUAGGGGUGAAAUCCUGUAAUCCUAGGGGGACCACCUGUGGCGAAGGCGUCUAACUGGAACGGGUCUGACGGUGAGGGACGAAACCUAGGGGAGCGAGCCGGAUUAGAUACCCGGGUAGUCCUAGGCGUAAAUGAUGCGAGUGAAGUGUGGGGGCAUCUACGAGAUGGCCCUGUGCUGUAGGGUAGCCGUUAAACUCGCCGCCUGGGGAGUACGGUCGCAAGGCUGAAACUUAAAGGAAUUGGCGGGGGAGCACCACACAGAGGUGGAGGCUGCGGUUCAAUUGGAUUCAACGCCGGAAAU
rnacentral:rRNA from 1 species